CAGAGACACCCCACAAUUGUCUGUACUUUCAUAAAGGCCAAGGAAGGUCUUCCCGUUAAAAGUCAAUGGCAUUAGGGUCCCGGUAGAUACCACCGCCGCAACAGUAACACCUUUGAGCUCGACAGUCUCUAUCUCGACAUGAAUGGCACUAUUCAUCCCUGUUUCCAUCUUGAAGAUAAUAAUACUUGGCUGCUAAGCUUCUUGCUUCAAAGACAGUGAUGAAGCCGGAGAAGGAGAAGGAGAAGGAGAAGGAGGAGAAGUAAAAGCAGAAGGAUUACCUGAAAAUACAUCAGCUCAGACUUAGAUUCUACAAUGCAUACUGAAGAAGACUGGCUUCCGGAGAUUAUUACCGGCAAAGCGCAAAAUGGGAAUUGUAUUUAACGUUCAUUUCCUAUGCAAUAGCCUUGGAUGUUUAUAUAAGAAUUCAAUUCAAUUGUAAAUAUUUAUAUUAUUUGAACAAUAUUUGGAUGUGAAGUGCCUUUUUCUUUCUUCGAUGGUUUGAUGCCCUCUUGCCAUAUUCACAACAUAGUUUGGUUAGAUUCAUAUCAGAAAAGAUGGUGUUCCUAGUUUAACUGAGAUCAAACUUGCUUUGUUUCAGCCGAGGAUCUUAUCCACGGCUCUAUCUUUACAACUGGGUAAAGCAUCCGUACUAUGAAGAAAAUAUUGAGGGAAGAUGCUUACCUAUCAGGGAUGCUUGGUUCUAUCAAAUGGUCCUGUUAUCACUGCGAAAGUUACAUCAAGUCUAUGGCUUGACUUGAUUUAGAAAGCGUUGGAGAUAUUCUCAAGGCCUCAGGAGAUGUGGAACUGCAUGUAAUGAUACUCUUUUUGGCUCAUGGAGUACCAGUCAGUCAUUGUUGAGAAUGCUGGUCAUCCAUACAAAGACCAGAUGGAGGAGUGCAAAAAUUGGAAAGCGGAUGUUUUGGCAAUGAUCAUACUCCGGCAUACCAGGUUGGGCACUAUAUUGUUUGGUUGGUUAAUUCCUACAGUGAUGAAGUUCUAGUUGAGCUUGGCCAAUAAGGUGUUAUGAAUCUUCUGGCAUUUCCAGUCAGCUUUUUGAGUGAGCACAUAGAAACACUAGAAGAGAUUGUCAUGGUGUACAGGGAGAUGGCUCUUUAAUCUGGCAUUCAAAAUCGGUGAUGUGUACCCUCCGUCAAGUGCACAUCUUCCUAUAUCACGGAUCUGGCAUAUGCGAUACUAGCAGCCUUACCUUUAGCAACUGCUAUGUCUUCCUCAAGGAACAUCUCCAAUGAAGACGACAAUGAAUUGUGAGAUCUUGUUUGAGAAUUCAUGACGAUGCCACUGUCUUGGGAUAGUGUGAUGAUUUUCCUUUCCAUGGCAUUAGUUUUGGCUUUAUUCAAAUGUAGUAUUUUGAGCAGGGGAUGAUACAAAAAGUGAACAAGCUAUCCACAUAAAUCAGGAUUACUGUAGCAAUGGCCUUGAGUAUUGUAAAUAUUUAUACUAUUUGAGCAAUAAUUGGAUGUAAAAUACUUUUUUCAUUCUUCAGUGGUUUGAUUACCCCUUACCAUAAUCACAACAUACUUGGUUUAGAUUGAUAUCAGAAAAUUGAAAUGGAAAAUCCAGGGGAAAACAUAGCAUGGAAUUGUAGCUUGAGAUGAGCAUGGAAUUGCGGAAUAUCAAUCCCAUUCACAUGCCACUGAAGAUAAGGUUAUUUCGGUUCCUUCAAUGGCCCUUGGCAAAUUAAUUUCUGUUCUACAAGGACAAAAGUAAAGAAGGAUAUGCUUCCAUAGGAGGUGGCUCACCUUUGUGUAAAAUAACAGAUGAGCAGGCACAUGCAUUUAGAAUGGCUCUGGAAGAAAAGAACUUACCUGUCAACGUCUAUGUUGGAAUGAGGUAUAAUAGCUGAAGCCCUACACUGAUGAAGUUCUUGUUGGGCUCAGCUAGAAAGGUGUCAAGGGUUGUCUUGCAGUUCCAGUCAGGGAGAUAUGAGCGAUAAAAUGGCUAUCUACGGAACUAAAUUAAUUGUAGUCUUUAUGAUUGCAGCAUUGUGAGUGAACACAUUAAAACCUAAGAUGAGAUUGACAUGGAGUACAGAGAGUUGGCUUUUGAAUCCGACAUUCAAAACUGGGGAUGUGUACUUGUCCUCAACUGCAUGUCUUCCUUCAUCAUGUAUCUCCAAUGCAGACAACCAAGGCUUUGCGAGAUAUGCUAUCAGAAUGUUCUUCGGUUCUAUUUUAGAAUUUGUUUUGCUGUCAUCGCCAAAAAUGAUACUUGCAAUCAAGAAUAUUCUCCUUUAAAGGCCAUUUAGAGUAGUGUGUCAAAAAAGUAGAAUUAUAGUUGAGUUUCAUAUGAGCUAGCGAUUUCAUCGAAUAAAGUUUCAAACAUCGGAACAUAAUUUGAUAAAAAUACCGAGACAUAGCACAGAUUUAGUUUGUUUUACAUAAAAAUGGGGUAUUCUUGCAAUGUUAGCCCGGGGCUAGUAGGGAGCUAGUGCACAACUAGCCUGCGUGGGCGCCGAGGCUACAGAGUGGGUGGUAUUCUUGCUGUUGAUGAAUCAAAUGCCACCUGUGGGAAGAGGUUGUCAUCGGUUGGAUUGGACUACAGUGAGACCAAUAGACAGGCUCGCAGGCAACUUUUGCUUCUUGUAUAGUGAAAGUUUCUGAAAAAGGAAUAUAUAUUCUAUUAUAUCCAUGCCUCAAGAUCUUCUCUUUUUGGAUUUCAUGUCAGCAAUGUCUUGGAUGAUUCUGCAAGUUUUUUAGCAUUGUCAGGCGCUUGCAUGAUCUGAGCAAACCAUAUUCUCAAGCACUUGCUAAUCUAAAUUCUGAUUCAACUUUUAAAAAAACUAGCAUUGCCGGGGCUCAAAAGGGAAAUCUAGUAGGGAAAAUGUUUGGUGCAGUUGGAGUAAGCACAUACUGUAAAAAUGCUGCAGAAUACCAUUCCCAUUCACAUGCCCCAGCAGAUAAGGUUGGAGUGUUAAUUCUGAAUCUUGGAGGACCAGAAGAUAAGGAGCUUCAAGUCUAUGACUGACUUGAUUCAGAAAGAGUUGAGGUUUGUGGAUACUCUUUUUCUAUAUGGUUCUUUUACAGAACAAAAUCAGCAUAUGUACUAAAAUUUUCAAGAAUGGUUUUACUAUUCUUGUUAAAUGUUGACGUUUGUGCUCUUUAUUUAUUUAUUUAUAUUGAGAUUGAGAAGAGAAGGUUAUGAUUAAUUCAAGUUUUCAUGAGGUUGAUAUCAUGUCUUCAAUUUAUUCAUUUAUACAAGUUCUUUAUCUUUUUUAGCUGUUGGUCUGAUUUCUCUUAGAAUUCGAGUCAUCACCAUACAACAUAAAUAAAAUUGUGAAGUAGAUUGCUUUUCUCUUAAUUGAUCAAAUUUAACGAUAAUUUUACAAGGGAAAUUAACGAUAAUUUUACAAGUAUGGAGGGUUUUUAUGAUAAUUUUAUUCAAAGUGAGGGGAUAUCUGGCUGGCUGCAAGGUUUUUUUUCAAUAUUUUUUAAAUUUAGUGUAACCUAAAUGGUAAUUUUACCUUUUAUUUUUUCACAAAGACACCCCACUAUUAUCUUUACUUUUACAUAAAGGCCAGGGAAGGUCUUCCUGUUAAAAUCAACGGUGUUACAACACACCCCCACCCCACACCCCCCCCCUUCCGGUCGAUACCAUCUGCUGCAACCUUAAUGGCUUUGAGUUCGACAAAGAAGUGUGCUCAUGGCAGUGAAAAUGCAGGGGAAUACAGAGCAUGGAAUUGUAGCAACAAAAGAAUAGCAGACAAGCUGAAGAGGUCUUAGAUAUCAGGUGGAAUUUAUAGGUCAUAGAUAUCAGGUGGGCAGUUUCGGAUUGGCAAGGUUGCAUGCUGAUGGAAACUUAGCAGAAGAGACACUUGCCAUAUGCUCGUUUAAUUAAG